rnacentral:rRNA from 1 species
GUGGCAGCCGCCGCGGUAAAACCAGCACCUCAAGUGGUCAGGAGGAUUAUUGGGCCUAAAGCAUCCGUAGCCUGCUUUGUAAGUUUCCGGUUAAAUCCAUUAGCUCAACUGAUGGGCCGCCGGAAAAACUGCAAAGCUAGGGAGUGGGAGAGGUAGACGGUACUCGGUAGGAAGGGGCAAAAUCCUUUGAUCUAUUGAUGACCACCUGUGGCGAAGGCGGUCUACCAGAACACGUUCGACGGUGAGGGAUGAAGGCUGGGGGAGCAAACCGGAUUAGAUACCCGGGUAGUCCCAGCUGUAAACGAUGCAGACUCGGUGAUGCACUGGCUUGUGGCCAGUGCAGUGCCGCAGGGAAGCCGUUAAGUUUGCCGCCUGGGAAGUACGUACGCAAGUAUGAAACUUAAAGGAAUUGGCGGGGGAGCACCACAAGGGGUGAAGCCUGCGGUUCAAUUGGAGUCAACGCCAGAAAUCUUACCCGAGGAGACAGCAGAAUGAAGGUCAAGCUGGAGACUUUACCAGACAAGCUGAGAAGUGGUGCAUGGCCGUCGCCAGCUCGUGCCGUGAGAUGUCCUGUUAAGUCAGGUAACGAGCGAGAUCCCUGCCUCUAGUUGCCACCAUUACUCUCAGGAGUAGUGGGGCGAAUUAGCGGGACCGCCACAGUUAAUGUGGAGGAAGGAAGGGGCCACGGCAGGUCAGUAUGCCCUGAAACCUUGGGGCCACACGCGGGCUGCAAUGAUAGUGACAAUGAGUUCCUAAACCGAAAGGUGGAGGCAAUCUUCAAACGCUAUCACAGUUAUGAUUGAGGGCUGCAACUCGCCCUCAUGAAUAUGGAAUCCCUAGUAACUGCGUGUCAUUACCGCGCGGUGAAUACGUCCCUGCUCCUUGCACACACCGCCCGUC